rnacentral:rRNA from 1 species
CCUACGGGAGGCUGCAGUGAGGAAUAUUGGUCAAUGGACGGAAGUCUGAACCAGCCAUGCCGCGUGCAGGAAGACGGCGCUAUGAGUUGUAAACUGCUUUUGUACAAGGGUAAACCUGAAUACGUGUAUUCAGCUGAAAGUACGGUACGAAUAAGGAUCGGCUAACUCCGUGCCAGCAGCCGCGGUAAUACGGAGGAUCCAAGCGUUAUCCGGAUUUAUUGGGUUUAAAGGGUGCGUAGGCGGAUUGUUAAGUUAGAGGUGAACUGUUGGAGCUUAACUCGGGAACUGCAUUUGAUACUGUUAGUCUAGAGUGUAGAAGCGGUAGGCGGAAUGUAUGGUGUAGCGGUGAAAUGCUUAGAGAUCAUGCAGAACACCGAUUGCGAAGGCAGCUUACCAGUCUAUAUCUGACGUUGAGGCACGAAAGCGUGGGGAGCAAACAGGAUUAGAUACCCCAGUAGUC